GGGGAUUUAGCUCAGUGGUAGAGUGCUUGCCUAGCAAGCACAAAGCCCUGGGUUCAGUCCCCA
rnacentral:tRNA from 1 species